rnacentral:rRNA from 1 species
CAUGGAGUUUGAUCCUGGCUCAGGAUGAACGCUAGCGGCAGGCUUAACACAUGCAAGUCGAGGGGUAUAGUUCUUCGGAAUUAGAGACCGGCGCACGGGUGCGUAACGCGUAUGCAAUCUACCUUUUGCAGAGGGAUAGCCCAGAGAAAUUUGGAUUAAUACCUCAUAGUAUGUGAGAAUCGCAUGGUUUUCACAUUAAAGUUCCAACGGUAAAAGAUGAGCAUGCGUCCCAUUAGCUAGAUGGUAAGGUAACGGCUUA